GAUGAACGCUGGCGGCGUGCCUAAUACAUGCAAGUCGAGCGAACAGACGAGGAGCUUGCUCCUCUGACGUUAGCGGCGGAUGGGUGAGUAACACGUGGAUAACCUACCUAUAAGACUGGGAUAACUUCGGGAAACCGGAGCUAAUACCGGAUAAUAUAUUGAACCGCAUGGUUCAAUAGUGAAAGACGGUUUUGCUGUCACUUAUAGAUGGAUCCGCGCCGCAUUAGCUAGUUGGUAAGGUAACGGCUUACCAAGGCAACGAUGCGUAGCCGACCUGAGAGGGUGAUCGGCCACACUGGAACUGAGACACGGUCCAGACUCCUACGGGAGGCAGCAGUAGGGAAUCUUCCGCAAUGGGCGAAAGCCUGACGGAGCAACGCCGCGUGAGUGAUGAAGGUCUUCGGAUCGUAAAACUCUGUUAUUAGGGAAGAACAAAUGUGUAAGUAACUAUGCACGUCUUGACGGUACCUAAUCAGAAAGACACGGCUAACUACGUG
rnacentral:rRNA from 1 species